UGGGGAAUAUUGCACAAUGGGCGCAAGCCUGAUGCAGCCACGCCGCGUGUGUGAAGAAGGCCUUCGGGUUGUAAAGCACUUUCAGCGAGGAGGAAGGUGGUGAGCUUAAUACGCUCAUCAAUUGACGUUACUCGCAGAAGAAGCACCGGCUAACUCCGUGCCAGCAGCCGCGGUAAUACGGAGGGUGCAAGCGUUAAUCGGAAUCACUGGGCGUAAAGCGCACGCAGGCGGUUUGUUAAGUCAGAUGUGAAAUCCCCGGGCUCAACCUGGGAACUGCAUUUGAAACUGGCAAGCUAGAGUCUCGUAGAGGGGGGUAGAAUUCCAGGUGUAGCGGUGAAAUGCGUAGAGAUCUGGAGGAAUACCGGUGGCGAAGGCGGCCCCCUGGACGAAGACUGACGCUCAGGUGCGAAAAGCGUGGGGAGCAAAACAGGAUUAGAUACCCUGGUAGUCCACGCUGUAAACGAUGUCGAUUUGGAGGUUGUGCCCUUGAGGCGUGGCUUCCGGAGCUAACGCGUUAAAUCGACCGCCUGGGGAGUACGGCCGCAAGGUU
rnacentral:rRNA from 1 species